UACGUAGGCGACAAGCGUUGUCCGGAUUUACUGGGCGUAAAGAGCGCGCAGGCGGUCGUUCAAGUCGAGUGUGAAAGCCCCCGGCUCAACUGGGGAGGGUCACUCGAUACUGAUCGACUUGAAGGCAGGAGAGGGAAGCGGAAUUCCCGGUGUAGUGGUGAAAUGCGUAGAUAUCGGGAGGAACACCAGUGGCGAAGGCGGCUUCCUGGCCUGUUCUUGACGCUGAGGCGCGAAAGCUAGGGGAGCAAACGGGG
rnacentral:rRNA from 1 species